UUGAUUUACUAAUAUUAGUUUCAAAUUGAGUCACAGCACGAUCGUGGGCUAGUAUAUUAGCUGUCAGGAGUGGGAAAAGCCGUUGAGACCGAAUUAGUUCCAAAUUAAGCCGCAGCACGAUUUUGCGCUAGUAUAUAAUAUUAUAU